CCUUUGGGGGGUGCUUACACAUGCAAGUCGAACGGGAUCCAUCAGGCUUUGCUUGGUGGUGAGAGUGGCGAACGGGUGAGUAAUGCGUGACCGACCUGCCCCAUACACCGGAAUAGCUCCUGGAAACGGGUGGUAAUGCCGGAUGCUCCGACUCCUCGCAUGGGGUGUCGGGAAAGAUUUCAUCGGUAUGGGAUGGGGUCGCGUCCUAUCAGGUAGUCGGCGGGGUAACGGCCCACCGAGCCUACGACGGGUAGCCGGCCUGAGAGGGCGACCGGCCACAUUGGGACUGAGAUACGGCCCAGACUCCUACGGGAGGCAGCAGUGGGGAAUAUUGCACAAUGGGCGCAAGCCUGAUGCAGCGACGCCGCGUGCGGGAUGACGGCCUUCGGGUUGUAAACCGCUUUUGAUCGGGAGCAAGCCUUCGGGUGAGUGUACCUUUCGAAUAAGCACCGGCUAACUACGUGCCAGCAGCCGCGGUAAUACGUAGGGUGCAAGCGUUAUCCGGAAUUAUUGGGCGUAAAGGGCUCGUAGGCGGUUCGUCGCGUCCGGUGUGAAAGUCCAUCGCUUAACGGUGGAUCUGCGCCGGGUACGGGCGGGCUGGAGUGCGGUAGGGGAGACUGGAAUUCCCGGUGUAACGGUGGAAUGUGUAGAUAUCGGGAAGAACACCAAUGGCGAAGGCAGGUCUCUGGGCCGUUACUGACGCUGAGGAGCGAAAGCGUGGGGAGCGAACAGGAUUAGAUACCCUGGUAGUCCACGCCGUAAACGGUGGAUGCUGGAUGUGGGGCCCGUUCCACGGGUUCCGUGUCGGAGCUAACGCGUUAAGCAUCCCGCCUGGGGAGUACGGCCGCAAGGCUAAAACUCAAAGAAAUUGACGGGGGCCCGCACAAGCGGCGGAGCAUGCGGAUUAAUUCGAUGCAACGCGAAGAACCUUACCUGGGCUUGACAUGUUCCCGACAGCCGUAGAGAUAUGGCCUCCCUUCGGGGCGGGUUCACAGGUGGUGCAUGGUCGUCGUCAGCUCGUGUCGUGAGAUGUUGGGUUAAGUCCCGCAACGAGCGCAACCCUCGCCCUGUGUUGCCAGCACGUCAUGGUGGGAACUCACGGGGGACCGCCGGGGUCAACUCGGAGGAAGGUGGGGAUGACGUCAGAUCAUCAUGCCCCUUACGUCCAGGGCUUCACGCAUGCUACAAUGGCCGGUACAACGGGAUGCGACACGGCGACGUGGAGCGGAUCCCUGAAAACCGGUCUCAGUUCGGAUUGGAGUCUGCAACCCGACUCCAUGAAGGCGGAGUCGCUAGUAAUCGCGGAUCAGCAACGCCGCGGUGAAUGCGUUCCCGGGCCUUGUACACACCGCCCGUCAAGUCAUGAAAGUGGGUAGCACCCGAAGCCGGUGGCCUAACCCUUUGUGGAUGGAGCCGUCUAAAGGGAAACUUGGU
rnacentral:rRNA from 1 species